UACGGGGGGGGCAAGCGUUGUUCGGAAUUACUGGGCGUAAAGGGCGCGUAGGCGGUUGGAUAAGUCAGCUGUGAAAACCACGGGCUUAACUCGUGGCCUGCAGUUGAGACUGUCUGGCUUGAGUGUGGGGGAGGAGAGUGGAAUUCCUGGUGUAGCGGUGAAAUGCGUAGAUAUCAGGAGGAACACCGGUGGCGAAGGCGGCUCUCUGGACCACAACUGACGCUGAGGCGCGAAAGCUAGGGGAGCAAACAGG
rnacentral:rRNA from 1 species